rnacentral:rRNA from 1 species
UACGUAGGGUGCGAGCGUUAAUCGGAAUUACUGGGCGUAGAGCGUGCGCAGGCUGUUCUGUAAGGCAGAUGUGAAAUCCCCGAGCUCAACUUGGGAACUGCGUUUGAAACUACAGGACUAGAAUAUGUCAGAGGGGGGUAGAAUUCCACGUGUAGCAGUGAAAUGCGUAGAGAUGUGGAGGAAUACCAAUGGCGAAGGCAGCCCCCUGGGAUAAUAUUGACGCUCAUGCACGAAAGCGUGGGGAGCAAACAGG